rnacentral:rRNA from 1 species
GACGAACGCUGGCGGCGUGCUUAACACAUGCAAGUCGAACGGAGUGGCGACAGGGUGAGUAACACGUGGGUGACCUGCCCUGCACUUCGGGAUAAGCCUGGGAAACUGGGUCUAAUACCGGCUAGUGGGGGAUGGGCCCGCGGCCUAUCAGCUUGGUGGUGGGGUAAGGGCCUAGCCAGGAGGCGACGGGUAGCCGGCCUGAGAUGGUGGACGGCCACAGUGGGACUGAGACACGGCCCAGACUCCUACGGGAGGCAGCAGUGUGGAAUAUUGCACAAUGGGCGGAAGCCUGAUGCAGCGACGCCGCGUGGGGGAUGACGGCCGUCGGGUUGUAAACUCCUUUCACCAUCGACGCGGUAGAUGGAGAAGAAGCACCGGCUAACUACGUGCCAGCCGCCGCGGUAAUAC